GUCAGGAUAGCUCAGCUGGUAGAGCAGAGGACUGAAAAUUCUCGUGUCGCCAGUUCAAAUCUGGUUCCUG
rnacentral:tRNA from 33 species